AGAGUUUGAUCCUGGCUCAGGACGAACGCUGGCGGCGUGCUUAACACAUGCAAGUCGAACGCUGAAGCCUAGCUUGCUGGGUGGAUGAGUGGCGAACGGGUGAGUAACACGUGAGUAACCUGCCCUCUUCUUUGGGAUAACGCCCGGAAACGGGUGCUAAUACUGGAUAUUCACUGAUCUUCGCAUGGGGGUUGGUGGAAAGGUUUUUUCUGGUGGGGGAUGGGCUCGCGGCCUAUCAGCUUGUUGGUGGGGUGAUGGCCUACCAAGGCUUUGACGGGUAGCCGGCCUGAGAGGGUGACCGGUCACAUUGGGACUGAGAUACGGCCCAGACUCCUACGGGAGGCAGCAGUGGGGAAUAUUGCACAAUGGGCGCAAGCCUGAUGCAGCGACGCCGCGUGAGGGAUGGAGGCCUUCGGGUUGUGAACCUCUUUCGCCCGUGGUCAAGCCGCGACUUUGGUUGUGGUGAGGGUAGUGGGUAAAGAAGCGCCGGCUAACUACGUGCCAGCAGCCGCGGUAAUACGUAGGGCGCGAGCGUUGUCCGGAAUUAUUGGGCGUAAAGGGCUUGUAGGCGGCUGGUCGCGUCUGCCGUGAAAUUCUCCGGCUCAACCGGGGGCUUGCGGUGGGUACGGGCCGGCUGGAGUGCGGUAGGGGAGGCUGGAACUCCUGGUGUAGCGGUGGAAUGCGCAGAUAUCAGGAGGAACACCGGUGGCGAAGGCGGGUCUCUGGGCCGUUACUGACGCUGAGGAGCGAAAGCGUGGGGAGCGAACAGGAUUAGAUACCCUGGUAGUCCACGC
rnacentral:rRNA from 1 species